CGCCCUUUGCAAUAAACCGCAUGUUCCAAGAUCUGACUAUAGAGAUCUCUCGUCACCGUCCGUCCCGACCGUCUGACCCACACCAAAGUACCCGCAUCCAGCAAUCACUUAAAUAACGUAAGAGCAACUCUAUGUAAAAUGUGCACACGAUUGCACAUCCAACAUUCCAGCCUCUGUGCACAGUGAAAUCCCCAGCAACAGGUUUGCCAGAUGCAAAUCAAGGGAAGCAGUAUAAUCUACAGGUUUAAAACUGAGGAAAAGGUAAUAUUAGCAUUUACAAGGGUUGUAGUCAAGCAUUCAAUUUUUUAGGCAAAUAAAACUAAGUAUUGUGGUAAACAUAGAAGGUGGGUUUGAGUAUGGUACUCAUGCACCCUGAAAAAAAUCCCAGCAAUAUUAAUGCUUGUCAUUUUUUCAGCACUAGGACCUCAUGGUUUUUGUUUAUGUACAGAACACAUUUAAAAAUAUUCUUUCAAUAAUUGUGACUAUUGGAAGUUGUUUGUGAGAGCACCCAGCAGGCACUUCAUCCUACCAAAAGCCCUUACCACACUGCCACAGGUGCAUUUCCUUUCUGAGUCCCUUACCUGUUCAGAGGAAUAACUGAUUCUCAUACACUCUUGUGAAAUGUUCCUGGUGUGAGGUAGAGCCAAUCCCUUUGUUCCAGCAGGAACAAAUGCUUAUGCUAAUAGUAGGAAUUGUUUCUCAUUUUUCCUGAGGAAAAAAAAAGACCAAGCCAGCAGCACACCUUUGAUACAGAAAAUUGAGCUUUUCCCUCUUAAAAUCUUACGUAUAUAAAGGAAAUUUCUUUUCCAGUGAAGAAUCUACCAUUACCUGUGUGCUAGCAUACAUUGCUAAGUCAUUGGUGCCACUUAAAUGUAGCACUAACUAAUCAUAAUUAGUAAUAGCGCAAUCAUAAAGAAAAGAAAGAAAAAAAACCACUCUCAGGCAGUUUGGGCACUGGUAAUGUUUUGCAGAGCAUUUAAAAUUAGACAGGUUUUCAUUUUCAAGACCAGUUGGGGUUUUGGGGGGUUGGGGCUGGGAGAGGAAGGCUAUGCUUCUUUUAACUAACCAAUUAAUUAACUAAUGAAUGAUUAACUACUCUGACCUGGUGGCAAUGGGUGACCACUCUGAACUGAAUCAGUGACUUUGUCUAAUUUUAAGCACUAGUUCAAGACCUUAGUUUAAGUCAUAUAGUGACAGUCCAGUGGGCAGGUAUCUCCAACAUACAACAGAGAAAGCCACCUGCCAGCAUAAACUUAUUUUUCCAUGAGACUUUCACUGAUUGAAAGGGUUGUAGCAAAAUAGGUUUGGAUUUUGGGGUGCUUCCUCUCUCCCUGUCUCUGGCUUGUCUUCUUGCCUCCUCCAGCCUCCUCCCUUGUCUCCCUGGGCAAAUGGCACUUUUGCUAUGAUUGGUCAGAUAGUACUGAUUUUCAUGAUCAGGAUGCUUUUUCAAAUGCUGUUUGCAAUUCAAUAUACAACUUUUUAAACAAACUAUGCAACCAUGAAAACGUUUUAAAAAAUGUAAUGAUAUUUGUUUCCUCUGAAAGUCAGCUGUUAGCAGGAAUGAUUUAUUAAACUUUAAGAAUAUCUAUUUUCCCCCUUUCAAUCAGAAAACAUUUAAUAGCAAUCAUUUCACUCCCAAAAGCUGUACAAGGAUUGACAACUUUAAGGGAGGUCUGGAGUUCUGUCACUUUCUUGACAAAGAAAAAUCAGUGUGACAUUCAUCUAUUGGCAUGUUAGUGCAGUGAUACAUUCCUUCAAAAGCUUUGCAUGUAGCUUUUGUGUUAUCUGUAAAGAAUUUUAUUGGAACUGUUGGAUUAGAGAAAAACAAGAAUGUGGAAAAGGUGUAUGGUAUCUCUCUAAACUUACUGUAUUAUGUAAUGUAUACUAUUAACUACUAUUUAAAGAAAUCCAGCCUCCCCAGCCUAUCUGUUCCCUUAUCACAUUCAGCUUUCUUACAAUCUCUGUUCAGGUGCAACUUUCUGUACUUGUCUCUGGGACUAGCUUCAUUUGUCCCAGGUCUGAAUCAAAACCCUUUCACCAUUCUCAAGUGGUCAAGAAAAAUACAUGGCUUGAAAAUAAAACUGAUUUUUCUUCUGCCCUUUUUGGGGAGUGACUUAAAAAGAACUGCGCAUUUACAUUUCCAAUUUGCAGCCUACUUUGCUCUUUGUAGCCUGGCACAUGUGCAGUAGAAUAUUUAUUAAGUUAUGAAUUACCCUAUUAUCCCAGGUGCCCUGCAAAGGCAAAUGCAAUCACCUCCCUGCUCUGCUGAACACUUGAGCUAUUGAACUUCAGGCUGGGUCAACAGCAGAACUCAGCUCGUAGAAGUCCAGGGGUGGAUGGUGGUGCCUCUACCAUCAAAUUGUCCCGUGGCAUCCUUAGCUAUUGGCAGACUGGGAUAGAUGCCAGUAGACUUUUUUUUGUUCCAUUUGCCUUCUUUAACUGGUUUUAAGGAUUUUCAUUUGACAGGCAGACAAAUAUUUGGCAGCUGGCUUAACUGAAGCAUAGAAAGAGGUUCUUUGAGUGCUGCAUGAAGGUAUUUGCAGCAGAUAAAUAGCUAGAACAAAGUAAAAGUAAAAUAUUCCAAGUACAGUUAAGUUAAAAAAUAACCAUUCAUUUCCUAUCCCAAUUUUCAUCUUUGUUCUAGCAGAUGGAUUUAUGAACACAGAUGCUAACACUGCAAAAAUGGAAACACAAGUCAAAUAAAUAUCAAGAACAAGAAAUCUGUCAAGACUCUCUGGAAGAUCUAUUGGUGUCAGGUUUUUAAAAGAAAAACAAAACAAAAUAAACAAAAAAACCCCAAAACCAAAAUCAAGACUACCCCACCUAAACAUUUUAACCUGUUUCCCCCCCAAGACAACAAAGCCAUUGCAAAGAAUCAGGGUGAUCCUUGCAUGUACGUUGUCCCUGAAGGAAACACAAAAUAGGCUCAAGCUAGAAGGAUUUUUGUAGAACUCAGGAGUUGUCUGAAAUUCAAGCAUCUAUGAAAGUUAUUAUAAUUGCAGAACUUCCAUGGUUAGAAGUGACCUCUGGAGGCUGUCUAGUCCAACUCCCUCUUCAGAGCAGGGUCAACUAGAGCAGCUUGUUCAGUACCAUGUCCAGUUGGGUUCUGAGUAUCUCCAAGGAUGAAGGCUUCCUAACCCUUCUGAACAACCUGCUCCAGUUUUGACCAUCAUCACAAUAAAAAUGUUUUCUCUUGCACUUAAA